UACGUAGGUGGCGAGCGUUGUCCGGAUUUACUGGGCGUAAAGAGCGCGCAGGCGGCUAUCCAAGUCAGUGGUGAAAGCCCGGAGCUCAACUCCGGAACUGCCAUUGAAACUGUUUAGCUUGAGGACGAGAGAGGUGAGUGGAAUUCCCAGUGUAGAGGUGAAAUUCGUAGAUAUUGGGAAGAACACCGGUGGCGAAGGCGGCUCACUGGCUCGUAUCUGACGCUCAGGCGCGAUAGCGUGGGGAUCAAACAGG
rnacentral:rRNA from 1 species